CCUACGGGUGGCAGCAGUAGGGAAUUUUCGUCAAUGGGCGCAAGCCUGAACGAGCGAUGCCGCGUGUGUGAAGAAGGCCUUCGGGUCGUAAAGCUCUGUUGCGGGGGAAAAAGGCAGCAUCAGGAAAUGGGUGCUGACUGAUGGUGCCCCGCCAGAAAGUCACCGCCAACCCCGUGCCAGCAGCCGCGGUAAUACGUAGGUGGCAAGCGUUAUCCGGGAUGAUUGGGCGGAAAGGGUGCGCAGGCGGUCCUGCAAGUCCGGAGUGAAACGCAUGGGCUCAACUCAUGCAUGGCUUUGGAAACUGGAGGACUGGAGAGCAGGAGAGGGGGGUAGAACUCCAUGUGUAGCGGUAAAAUGCGUAGAGAUAUGGAAGAACACCAGUGGCGAAGGCGGCCGCCUGGCCAGUUGCUGACGCUGAGGCGCGAAAGCGUGGGGAGCAAAUAGGAUUAGAUACCCCUGUAGUC
rnacentral:rRNA from 1 species